UCUUUCUCCAUUUUUGGGAUAUCCAUGCCCAAUUUUAGCUUUAAUGCAAUAAAAAUGUAUUGAAAUAUGUAUAUUCACUCUAAUUUUCCAAGCAAGGGUCCCACAGUGCGUUAUCUAAGCAUACGUUAAAAUAUGCGUUGUCAGUUGACACAAUACUAGUUCUAACAACAGAAUAACUUAUCAAGUGGAGGCCAUUUUCAAUUUGCAUUUUUUAAAAUCUUAUUUUAAUAUCCCUAUAGAGUAUGACUGAGGUGAUUGAUAUAGAUGGCUGUGUUGUAAGUGAUUUAUUCUCUAACUGACACAAUACGAUAAUUACAUUUAUUGAUCAUUCAUUGUCACAUGAAUGCACUUUAGGAAGACAGUUGAAAUCCAGGAUGUGCAAAGUAUGUGUAAAUAAUAUACUUUGAACAGUGACGUGCUAUGAUUUAUCAUCACCUGUUAUGAUUGAAGAGAACCCAAGUAGAUCUGAAGAAAAAGUAACUUUCCUGACAGGUAUUGAAACUGACAGUUUUUUUUUCAAAAUUAUUGUUUGAUACACGGUUACAGAUUUAGUUCUAAAAACAUUAAGUAGAUGAUGUCAGGAAACUUAAGAUUUAACGCGCAAGAUAAAUAACGUCAUUUUUCUGCGUACUACGUCAUUAGUUUCAAAGAGAGGUGGUAUGGAUUCAGAAAACCACACUGUGGUGAUACGGAAGGUUAGAUCAUGACGUAACCUUAUUGCAUUAAAUCAACAGUAAAAUUGACUGAUAGACAGUUGUGUAUAUGAUA